rnacentral:rRNA from 1 species
UUCCGGAGAGGGAGCCUGAGAAACGGCUACCACAUCCAAGGAAGGCAGCAGGCGCGCAAAUUACCCAAUCCCGACACGGGGAGGUAGUGACAAUAUGUAACAAUAUACGGCCUUAUACGUCGUAUAAUUGGAAUGAGUACAAUUUAAAUCCCUUAACGAGGAACAAUUGGAGGGCAAGUCUGGUGCCAGCAGCCGCGGUAAUUCCAGCUCCAAUAGCGUAUAUUAAAGUUGUUGCAGUUAAAAAGCUCGUAGUUGGACCUUGGACCUGGACAGGCGGUCCGCCUCACGGCGAGUACUGUCUUGCUGGGUCUUUCCUCUUGGUGAUCUGUUGUUUCGGCAGCAGGGAACCAGGACCUUUACUUUGAAAAAAUUAGAGUGUUCAAAGCAGGCUCGACGCCGGAAUAUAUUAGCAUGGAAUAAUAAAAUAGGACGUGCGGUUCUAUUUUGUUGGUUUUUGGAAUCGCCGUAAUGAUUAAUAGGGACAGUCGGGGGCAUUAGUACUCACAUGCUAGAGGUGAAAUUCUUGGAUUUUGUGAAGACUAACUACUGCGAAAGCAUUUGCCAAGGAUGUUUUCAUUAAUCA